rnacentral:tRNA from 1 species
GGGGAUGAAUCUGGCCUGGUGGCCGGCCUGGACUUCAAAUCCACGUGUUGGGCAGUGAUCCUGUCCAAGGUGGGUUCGAUUCCCACACUUCCCCGCCA